AAACCAACAGGGAUUGCCUUAGUAGCGGCGAGUGAAGCGGCAAAAGCUCAAAUUUGAAAUCUGGCACCUUCGGUGUCCGAGUUGUAAUUUGAAGAAGGUAACUUUGGGGUUGGCUCUUGUCUAUGUUCCUUGGAACAGGACGUCACAGAGGGUGAGAAUCCCGUGCGAUGAGA
rnacentral:rRNA from 1 species